CCACUUGUGCAAUCGCUGGUUUUUCCGGCAUCCCAGGUAGCCAUAACCUUUGAGGCUACGUCACGCAUGUGAUGGUUACCCCGAAAUGCGAUUCGCGUUCGGCAGCUCGCAUGGUCACCGUUCCCCGGUGAUGAACGC
rnacentral:ncRNA from 1 species